GGUCAUCCAGCGCAAAAACCCAAAAUUAAAUUUCAACAAAAAUAUAAAACAAAAAAUAUACCCACCCUUUUAAGAAUGGGUUAAAAUCUAGUUCAAGUUAAAAAAUAAAAAGAACUAUAAUAAUUUGCUGAUCAAUUUUUCGGUCACCUCUCACCACUACAGCCAAUUUACUACCACCGCCUUGUCAAACGCACUCGCCAGGAGUACUUUAAGAUCCGUCUAGUUUCCAACGCCUGUCAAUUUUACUGUUCC
rnacentral:lncRNA from 1 species